AUUCCCAGCCAGCGGGAAGGGGACAGCCAGGCAAACCCAACCACAGCUCCACCUCCUCCAACCUUCACGGGAACGCAGGUUUUAGGUCAAUCAAGCGAUGGGGGAACCAGGCGCCGGGCUGGUGGUGCAGCAGGUCACGCCGUAACGACGCCACGACUUCCAGCGUCGGCCACGGGUCUUCUCGCCUUCCAGCUUCACCCAACCCCAGCCGCGCCUCCCAUCCCCAAACGUGAAGGAAAGUUCCCCCCCGACGGGGGGGAAUCGCCCCGCUCUGCAACUCCUGGCUUACGCUGGAGCGGGAUAAAAGCGAGAAGGCGCCGAGGUCCGCGUUUAUCGCCUCCUGUGCCCUGCGACAUCCACCCCACAGGGGAAGCACCUGGCGCUAUCGGCUCCGCACCUGCUCGAGAGGGGCAGAAAGCCCCCACACCGACCUUUUUUUUUCACAUCCAAGGGCGCAGCUGGAGACGCGAGCGUGCCCUCCCGAGCCCGGCUUCCACCCAAGGGCUUCGAAGGAGAAGCGGAGCCUGCGAGGAGCUCGCCUCAGGCACCCGCCUGGCACCGGGGGGGGAUAACGGNNNNNNNNNNNNNNNNNNNNNNNNNCGAGGACCCCCUCACGCCGCAGGACGGCCCCCCGUCCCCACUGGGCGGAGAAGCGGCGAAACCCAAGCGGCGUCCCCCCGGCCCUGGAGGCCGCGGAGCCGGGCGGACAGGGCCCGUCCGGGACCCGUCCGCGGGGUGCGGGGGCCCCGCUCCCGGCCCGCACUCACCGGGGCUCGGCUCCGCUCCGCGCUCUGCUCCCGGCCGCCAGGCCUCCUCCCCCCGCCCACCCCCCGGCAGGGCUUCAGGGGGAGGCGGGGCCUUUGCAGCCGGGCAGCCAAUCAGCGCCGAGGGGCCGAGGUGCCGCGCGAGCCGAGCGGCCGAGAGGCGGCUGACGGGCGCGGCGGGAGGCCAAUGGGAGGCGGGCUGCCUCGGGCUGCGGGUGGAGGGGCGGGGCGCGGCUCCCGGCGCAGAACGCGCGCAGGUGGCGGCGCAGAACGCGCGCAGGUAGCGCGCAAAAAGCGCGCAGGGCGCCUGGGAGCCGCUGGGAGCGGUUUGAGGGCCCUGGGGUGGGCAGGAUGGGCCCCGGCUGCCCCCCGUCCUGCCCGGCGGGGUGUCCUGCCCGGCCCCCGGUCCUGCGGGGCAGCGCGGUGCCUCGCCCCCGCCCCGGUCCCGCAGGGGCAGCGCCGCUUCUCUGCCCUCCCAAGGUCAGAAGGAGCCGGGCUGGGUCAGACACGCUCCCCAAAACGAUCGGCCUCGCCCUCCUGCACCAGGCGCUCGCAGCACUUUGGGGAGCUCUGGGGAUCUUCGUCAGCUCUUCUCGCAGCUCUGGGGCGCCUUCACCCAGGCGUCUGGGCUACAAGGGCAGAGAAGUGCGUCUGCACAGCGAGCUUUUUGCACAGCAGGAACAGAGGAGGCCCAGGCAGCCUCUCCUCGCACACACACUGCGUGUGGGGUCAGCAGGCACAGCCUCCGAAAAACAGUCACCUUACCAACCUGCUGAUCUGUGCAGGGCUGCAGCGGGAUUUACUCACAAAGUCAGCACUAAGGCACUUCUGCCGCUCUUGUUUUCCUGUCCCAAAAAGGCUCUGUGCAGAGCCAACCACCCUUCAACCAUCCUUUUUUUUUUUCUUUUGGGAUGCUUUAUAG
rnacentral:lncRNA from 1 species